rfam:TPA: Bos taurus chromosome 1, whole genome shotgun sequence.
UCCCUGGUGGCUCAGAGGUUAAAGCGUCUGCCUGCAAUGCGGGAGACCUGGGCUCGAUCCCUGGGUUGGGAA